rnacentral:rRNA from 1 species
CGGCCAGACUCCUACGGGAGGCAGCAGUGGGGAAUAUUGUACAAUGGGGGAAACCCUGAUGCAGCGACGCCGCGUGAAGGAAGAAGUAUUUCGGUAUGUAAACUUCUACCAGCAGGGAAGAAAAUGACGGUACCUGACUAAGAAGCCCCGGCUAACUACGUGCCAGCAGCCGCGGUAAUACGUAGGGGGCAAGCGUUAUCCGGAUUUACUGGGUGUAAAGGGAGCGUAGGCGGCGAUGCAAGUCAGAAGUGAAAGCCCGGGGCUCAACUCCGGGACUGCUUUUGAAACUGUGUUGCUAGAUUGCAGGAGAGGUAAGUGGAAUUCCUAGUGUAGCGGUGAAGUGCGUAGAUAUUAGGAGGAACACCAGUGGCGAAGGCGACUUUCUGGACUGUACCUGACGCUGAGGCGCGAAAGCGUGGGUAGCGAACGGGAUUAGAUACCCCAGUAA